AAUUUUGGACAAUGGGCGCAAGCCUGAUCCAGCCAUGCCGCGUGUGUGAAGAAGGCCCCCGGGCUGUAAAGCACUUUCAGUGAGGAAGAACGCCUGGCGGUUAAUACCCGCCAGGGAAGACAUCACUCACAGAAGAAGCACCGGCUAACUCAGUGCACGCAGCCGCGGUAAGACGGCGGGUGCGAGCGUUAAUCGGAAUUAUCGGGCGUAAAGCGCGCGUAGGUAGCUUGAUCAGCCGGUUGUGAAAGCCCCGGGCUCAACCUGGGAACGGCAUCCGGAACUGUCAGGCUAGAGUGCAGGAGAGGAAGGUAGAAUUCCCGGUGUAGCGGUGAAAUGCGUAGAGAUCGGGAGGAAUACCAGUGGCGAAGGCGGCCUUCUGGACUGACACUGACACUGAGGUGCGAAAGCGUGGGUAGCAAAC
rnacentral:rRNA from 1 species